GCAUUGGUGACGAAUCCCAAACAGGACGAAACAGCUGUCCAGUGC
rnacentral:hammerhead_ribozyme from 1 species